AACGGUCGUACCAUGCUGAAUAUACCGGUUCUCGUUAGAUCACCGAACCGAAGUUAAGCAUCAUUGGGCGCGGUCAGUACUUGGGUGGGUGACCACCUGGGAACACUGCGUGCCGUU
rnacentral:rRNA from 1 species